rnacentral:rRNA from 1 species
AAUACCUAGGAAUCUGCCUGGUAGUGGGGGACAACGUUUCGAAAGGAACGCUAAUACCGCAUACGCCCUACGGGGGAAAGCAGGGGACCUUCGGGCCUUGCGCUAUCAGAUGAGCCUAGGUCGGAUUAGCUAGUUGGUGAGGUAAUGGCUCACCAAGGCGACGAUCCGUAACUGGUCUGAGAGGAUGAUCAGUCACACUGGAACUGAGACACGGUCCAGACUCCUACGGGAGGCAGCAGUGGGGAAUAUUGGACAAUGGGCGAAAGCCUGAUCCAGCCAUGCCGCGUGUGUGAAGAAGGUCUUCGGAUUGUAAAGCACUUUAAGUUGGGAGGAAGGGUACUUACCUAAUACGUGAGUAUUUUGACGUUACCGACAGAAUAAGCACCGGCUAACUCUGUGCCAGCAGCCGCGGUAAUACAGAGGGUGCAAGCGUUAAUCGGAAUUACUGGGCGUAAAGCGCGCGUAGGUGGUUCGUUAAGUUGGAUGUGAAAUCCCCGGGCUCAACCUGGGAACUGCAUCCAAAACUGGCGAGCUAGAGUAGGGCAGAGGGUGGUGGAAUUUCCUGUGUAGCGGUGAAAUGCGUAGAUAUAGGAAGGAACACCAGUGGCGAAGGCGACCACCUGGGCUCAUACUGACACUGAGGUGCGAAAGCGU